AUUGAACGCUGGCGGCAUGCCUUACACAUGCAAGUCGAACGGUAACAGGUCUUCGGAUGCUGACGAGUGGCGAACGGGUGAGUAAUACAUCGGAACGUGCCCGAUCGUGGGGGAUAACGAAGCGAAAGCUUUGCUAAUACCGCAUAAGAUCUACGGAUGAAAGCAGGGGACCGCAAGGUCUUGCGCGAACGGAGCGGCCGAUGGCAGAUUAGGUAGGUGGUGGGAUAAAAGCUUACCAAGCCGACGAUCUGUAGCUGGUCUGAGAGGACGACCAGCCACACUGGGAAUGAGAAACGGCCCAGACUCCGACGGGAGGCAGCAGUGGUGAAUUUUGGACAAUGGGCGAAAGCCUGAUCCAGCCAUGCCGCGUGCAGGAUGAAGGCCUUCGGGUUGUAAACUGCUUUUGUACGGAACGAAAAGACUCUUUCUAAUAAAGAGGGUCCAUGACGGUACCGUAGAAUAAGCACCGGCUAACUACGUGCCAGCCGCCGCAGUAACAC
rnacentral:rRNA from 1 species